rnacentral:rRNA from 1 species
UAUUGGACAAUGGGCGCAAGCCUGAUCCAGCCAUGCCGCGUGGAUGAUGAAGGCCCUAGGGUUGUAAAGUCCUUUCGGCGGGGAAGAUAAUGACGGUACCCGCAGAAGAAGCCCCGGCUAACUUCGUGCCAGCAGCCGCGGUAAUACGAAGGGGGCUAGCGUUGCUCGGAAUCACUGGGCGUAAAGCGCACGUAGGCGACUCUUAAGUCGGUGGUGAGAUCCUGAGCUCAACUCCAGGACUGCCUUCGAUACUGAGGGUCUCAGUCCGGAGGGGUGAGGUGAACUGCGAGUGAGAGGUAAAUUCGAGUUUCGCAAGACACCAGUGGCAAGGCGGCUACUGGCCCGGUCUGCGCUGAGUCAGAGAG